GAAAUACCACCCUUGUAUGUUUGAUGUUCUAACGUUGGCCCCUAAUCGGGGUUGCGGACAGUGCCUGGUGGGUAGUUUGACUGGGGCGGUCUCCUCCCAAAGAGUAACGGAGGAGCACGAAGGUGGGCUAAUCACGGUUGGACAUCGUGAGGUUAGUGCAAUGGCAUAAGCCCGCUUAACUGCGAGAAUGACGGUUCGAGCAGGUGCGAAAGCAGGUCAUAGUGAUCCGGUGGUUCUGAAUGGAAGGGCCAUCGCUCAACGGAUAAAAGGUACUCCGGGGAUAACAGGCUGAUACCGCCCAAGAGUUCAUAUCGACGGCGGUGUUUGGCACCUCGAUGUCGGCUCAUCACAUCCUGGGGCUGAAGUCGGUCCCAAGGGUAUGGCUGUUCGCCAUUUAAAGUGGUACGCGAGCUGGGUUUAGAACGUCGUGAGACAGUUCGGUCCCUAUCUGCCGUGGGCGUUGGAAGAUUGAAGGGGGCUGCUCCUAGUACGAGAGGACCGGAGUGGACGAACCUCUGGUGUUCGGGUUGUGUCGCCAGACGCAUUGCCCGGUAGCUAAGUUCGGAAUCGAUAACCGCUGAAAGCAUCUAAGCGGGAAGCGAGCCCUGAGAUGAGUCUUCCCUGAUACUUUAAGUAUCCUGAAGGGUUGUUCGAGACUAGAACGUUGAUAGGCAGGGUGUGUAAGCGCUGUGAGGCGUUGAGCUAACCUGUACUAAUUGCCCGUGAGGCUUA
rnacentral:rRNA from 1 species